GGAAAAGAAACCAACAGGGAUUGCCCUAGUAACGGCGAGUGAAGCGGCAACAGCUCAAAUUUGAAAUCUGGCCCCAGGCCCGAGUUGUAAUUUGCAGAGGAUGCUUUUGGCAAAGCGCUUACCGAGUCCCCUGGAACGGGGCGCCACAGAGGGUGAGAGCCCCGUAUGGUAGGACGCCGAGCCUCUGUAAAGCUCCUUCGACGAGUCGAGUAGUUUGGGAAUGCUGCUCUAAAUGGGAGGUAAAUUUCUUCUAAAGCUAAAUACCGGCCAGAGACCGAUAGCGCACAAGUAGAGUGAUCGAAAGAUGAAAAGCACUUUGAAAAGAGGGUUAAAUAGCACGUGAAAUUGUUGAAAGGGAAGCGCUCGUGACCAGACUUGCGCCGGGCGGAUCAUCCAGCGUUCUCGCUGGUGCACUCCGCCCGGCUCAGGCCAGCAUCGGUUUUUGCCGGGGGACAAAAGCUUCGGGAACGUGGCUCCCUUCGGGGAGUGUUAUAGCCCGUUGCUUAAUACCCCGGCGGGGACCGAGGACCGCGCUUCGGCAAGGAUGCUGGCGUAAUGGUCAUCAGCGACCCGUCUUGAAACACGGACCGAGGAGUCAAGCAUUAGUGCGAGUGUUUGGGUGUAAAACCCGCACGCGUAAUGAAAGUGAACGUAGGUGAGAGCUUCGGCGCAUCAUCGACCGAUCCUGAUGUUUUCGGAUGGAUUUGAGUAGGAGCAUUAACGCUUGGACCCGAAAGAUGGUGAACUAUACUUGAAUAGGGUGAAGCCAGAGGAAACUCUGGUGGAGGCUCGCAGCGGUUCUGACGUGCAAAUCGAUCGUCAAAUUUGAGUAUAGGGGCGAAAGACUAAUCGAACCAUCUAGUAGCUGGUUACCGC
rnacentral:rRNA from 1 species